rnacentral:rRNA from 1 species
GACAGAGGGUGCAAACGUUGUUCGGAAUUACUGGGCGUAAAGUGUGCGCAGGUGGCCGCGCAUGUCGAGUGUGAAAUCCCCGGGCUUAACUUGGGAAUUGCGCUCGAAACUACGUGGCUCGAGUGUGGCAGAGGAAGGUGGAAUUCCACGUGUAGCGGUGAAAUGCGUAGAGAUCGGGAGGAACACCAGCGGCGAAGGCGGCGCUCUGGGCCGGAACUGACGCUGAGGAGCGAAAGCGUGGGUAGCAAACAGG